AUGGGAACGCGAAGAACCUUACCUAGACUUGACAUCUCCUGAAUAGUGUAGAGAUACAUGAAGCCCUUCGGGGCAGGAAGACAGGUGGUGCAUGGUUGUCGUCAGCUCGUGUCGUGAGAUGUUGGGUUAAGUCCCGCAACGAGCGCAACCCUUAUUACUAGUUGCUACCAUUAAGUUGAGCACUCUAGUGAGACUGCCCGGGGUUAACCGGGAGGAAGGCGGGGAUGACGUCAAAUCAUCAUGCCCCGUUAUGUCUAGGGCAACACACGUGCUACAAUGGUGAGUACAGAUAGAUGCGAUACCGCAAGGUGGAGCCAAACUCUAAAACCUCAUCCCAGUUCGGAUUGUAGGCUGCAACUCGCCUACAUGAAGUUGGAGUUGCUAGUAAUCGCGAAUCAGAAUGUCGCGGUGAAUACGUUCCC
rnacentral:rRNA from 1 species